rnacentral:sRNA from 1 species
CUUGCGUCCCCGCGUGUGUGCGCCUAAUCUCAGGUGGUCCACCCGAGACCCCUUGAGCACCAACCCUAGUCCCCCGCGCGGCCCCUUAUUCGCUCCGACAAGGUACAAAAAGGCUCUGGACGGCGGCGUGGUAGGAGGACGGGAGCGGGGGCGGGAAGUUCCCUGAAGGAGCGAGACAGGGAGGGACAGGGCAGAGGAGGAGAGGAAGGCGAUGCGACGGACAGGCGCACCCGCUCAGGCUGACUCUCGGGGGCGAGGUCGAGCCAGGGGCGGCUGCCCUGGGGGCGAGGCGACGCUGUCUCAACCUCCACCUCGCGGCGGAACCCGAGGACAGGAGCCUCAGAUGAAAGAAACAAUCAUGAACCAGGAAAAACUCGCCAAACUGCAGGCACAAGUGCGCAUUGGUGGGAAAGGAACUGCUCGCAGAAAGAAGAAGGUGGUUCAUAGAACAGCCACAGCAGAUGACAAAAAACUUCAGUUCUCCUUAAAGAAGUUAGGGGUAAACAAUAUCUCUGGUAUUGAAGAGGCAAGUAUCAAAUUUUGUUUCUUUAAAAAACAAGAUUUGGCUGGGAAAAGUUAACGUUAAUGCAUUAAAUGGGUUGUUUUUU